rnacentral:lncRNA from 10 species
UGAACAAUAAUGGGAAUGGUUACAAUGACUGAUUCAGGCUGGGUCACGUACCUAAACUUGUGACCAGGGGUCUCUAGUUUUAGAAAUGGAAACCCCUUUCACAACCACGAUGUUGGAGAGGGAAGCAGCUACCUCAAAAGAAGGGAAUGAACGGUUGAGACCAGACAAUAUAAUAAGUGGCCACUCUCUGGUAGAGAAAGACUUUGGAGGAAACCCAUCAGGCAUCCAGAACCCACAGCUCUGCCAUCAGAACUCCAUCCUGGGAACAGAAGCCGUCUAUCUGCAUCUGUAAACAUGGCCUCAUGUAGUGACGUGCAGGGAAAUGAGUGUGCCCUUGCAAUGGUAAAUCCACGGGAACCUUCUCAGUGCAGUGGUAAUACAGAGUAUAAAGUAGCCCUCCUUACUCUUAAGAGGAAAUUUUGCCUCUUCACCUUUCCAAAAGAAAUGACGGGCACACCAGUGCAGGAGCAUAGGCUUUUUUCUCAAACAUCUUGAUAACACCAGAAGACAUUUGCCGAUUUCAAAUUGACAACUCAUGACAAUGUAAAACCACUCAGACUGCCUCCUCUCCCUCUUACUCUCCAGGGAGGAGAGAAGAAUGAUCAUCAAGGGCAGAAGGCAGUUACAUCGAAGCAACACUGAAAACUGGCUUCAUGCUCAGGAGAGAAUGCUGCGCUUUUUCCUCGUGAUUUGUGGUGCUCUACAUAUUCAGAGAAACUUCUCCAGUAACAAACUAUAGAAAUGAUCCCUCAAAGUAUAGUCUUCAAGAUUCUUAAUCACAUCUGAAAAGAGCCUUUGUCAUGCCAGACCCUUGCUGACAUCGAUAGGAGUGACACCCUGUUUGACAGGCUGAAGAAGAGACCUAGAGCCGGUGAAUGAAAUACAGGGUUUAUUGAAGGAACCCAGUGUCAAUGGGCUGGAUAAAAGAACAGCUACCACUUGUAAAAAACAUGCAGUUUAGGCCGGGUGUGGUGGUUCACGCCUGUAAUCCCAGCACUUUGGGAGGCUGAGGCGGGCAGAUCCUGAGGUCAGGAGAUUGAGACCAUCCUGGCUAAUACUGUGAAACCCCGUCUCUACUACAAAUACAAAAAAUUAGCUGAGCGUGGUGGCACAUGCCUGUAGUCCCAGCUACUUGGGAGGCUGAGGCAGGAGAAUCACUUGAACCUGGGAGGCGGAGGUUGCAGUGAGCCAAGAUCGUGCCACUGCACUCCAGCCUGGUGACAGAGUGAGACUCCAUCCCCAAAAAAAGAAAAAAAAAAAGAAAAUGCAGUUUAUGUGGCAUUUUCACUUAGCACCUUUCUCAUAUCAGCCUACACCUCACAACCUUCAUUUAACCCAAAACAAAGGGUUUUGAUCCCCUGUAUGGCUCAUGUUCCAUGGGAUGGGAUGGGGAUUGAGAUGUUCCUCGUAGAUAAGGAAUGAAUCUCCGGGUUGGCCACUUCCGGAUUCCUUAGCUUUGGACUCCACACACACAUUCUUUUUAGACCACAGGGUCAAUCUAAGGGUAUCAAGUUAAGUUAUUGCUGUCAGGUGUGUUUGCCAUACAGAGUCAUUCUCAGAAUAUAUGCUUAAGUUAUUGCUGAAAGGUACAUCUGUCAUAUGCCCAUUUUCCAUAUAACAUAACAUUUACAGGUUUCAGAAAUUAGAAACCAAUAUUUUAGGGAGAUUAUUUUUAGCCUACUCCUGUAUACCAUCCUAAAAAUAAGAAAUCCACACUAAAUUUGCCAAGACUAUUGAUUUGCCUUUGUAUCUAUUGGAAACACACACUUGAAUCCAUUGAUUAAAACAGCACCACAAAGUAAAUUUAACAAUACAUUUCAAGUUUUGAAAUGAAGCAUUCAUCAUUUUACAGUUCUAAGAAGAUAAAAGUAUGCAUUUGUGUCACAUUUAUGUGACACUUCAUAAAAAAGUGUUCAGGAAUCUAGAGGGAAUAGAUAAUCUCAGUUCUAGGAGAAAAAAAAAUGGCACAGGCAAAUGGGGUAAUUAGGGAGAUUAAUGAAAGAGAGUUUAGGGAAACCAAAAAUGGAUAGUGUGAUAGCAAAGGGGUGGAAAUAUGCCCCCUAGCUUUGAAAGGGGCAAGGGAAGGGAGAGAAUACCAAAAUUUAGAAUACCAAAAUGUAGAUAGAGCUGAGGCUGUGACUGUAGCUUCAGGAGAGGACUGCUGGAUAGGAGCCGUGGCCUUGGUAAAGGAGCUCAACCCCUCCCAGGCUUCCCUCUGGAAGGCGGAGCAAUUGCCUUACAGUGGCCAAAUCAAUGGGAAGUCAGGUGACAAGGAAGCCCAUUGAUGCUGUCCAUACAGAUAGAUUAGCCUCCUAGAAGAUGAUCAACUUGGAGAAAUGUAGAAAAUGAAUCUAGCUCUAAGGUCAAGAAAAAAAUAUUCCGUACUUGCUGCCAGAGAACUAUGAGGAAAAGCAUAGUAUCCUGGAAUCAGAGGGAAAAGAGUAUUUCAAGAAGGCAGGUAGGUUAAUAUUUCAAAUGGAGCUGAGAGGUCAAGUAAGAUAAGGACUAAGAGAUAUUCAUUGACUUUUAAGACAAGGAGAUCUUUGGUGACCUAAGUCAGUUCUGCUUAGAUGCAGUGGUGAGUGAUGACACUGGAUUGGAUUAGUGUGAAGAGUGAGGUAAGCAAGUGGAGACAGCAAAGGCAGACAAGAAAAUUCAUUCAAGUUUGUUUUGGAUGGGAAAAGAGACAUAGGGCAAUAGCUGAAAGACAAGAGGGGAUUGAAUAAAAAUAUUUUUCUCUCCCAAGUUAGGAAAAAUCUUAACCAGGUAAGAAUGUUAAUGAAAAGACAAAGGUGAGAGGGAGUAGGGAGAGAACCGUGGAGAAGUGUCCGUCAUUCUCACCCAGGAAAGAUUGCUCUGAUGAAUUAGCCAUGUCUGUUAUGGACAUGAGGUGAGAGCGGAGGGAUGAAUGUGUGUUACUGAUUCUAAUUCAAUCUCUAUUUUAUAGAUAAAAUUGUGUCCUACAGAUGGCGAAAGUGGGGAGUCAUUUGUUCAUUAUUCAGGUAACUAGUAAGAUGUCUUGUUACUUUCAGUCCAGGGAGUCUUAAAAUUGGGCACUGUGUUUGUUUGUAUGGCUGUAAAGUAAUACCUGAGGCUUAGAAAUUUAUAAAGAAAAGAGGUUUAUUUGGCUCACAGUUCUGCAGGCUGUACAAGAAGCAUGAUGCCAACAUCUGCUUCUGAUGGCCUCAAGUUGCUUCCACUCAUGGCAGAAAGUGAAAGGGAGCUGGUGUGUCACAUGGCGAGAGAGGGAGGAAGGCAGAGACAGCCAGAGAGUUCCAGGCUAUUUUCAACAACCAGUUCUCUUGGGAACUAAGAAUAGGAAUUCACUCACUCCUACAAAAAUGGCACCGAGCUAUUCAUGGGGGAUCCAACCUCACAAUUCAAACACCUUCCAAUAGGCCCUGCCUCCAACAUAAGGGUCACAUUUCAACACGAAACUUGACAGGACCAAAGGAACUAUAUCCAAACCAUAGCAGGCAUUAUUUCCAAAAUGAUGCCACUCCUAUAUGGGAGAGAGGUGAAGUGAUUUUAUAUUUUUCACUGAUUACUACUUUUAUUUAAUAAUUAUGCACUAAUUUUUAUAGUUGCAAUAUACUAUUGGCCCAGGAUACUGGGUUUCCUUUUAUGGUGGUAAUAUAUAGUUUUUCUCUUAGUUAAAUGCUUUUAGGCAACAAAAGUUGAUUUAAAGAACUUACAAAUAAGAAAAAGUUAUACAGAUAUUACUCAACUAUGACAAUUGUGAAAUUGUGAAGGUGGCACAUGAGUGAAUGACAUUUGAGACAUACUGCAUUAUACAUGUUGCUUAUCUGCAGAGUUAAUUUGGUGUUUAUUGGUGUAAGAACAAAGUUGAAGGGUCUAAGUCUUCUGUCUAUAAUCUCAACCUUGAAUUACUGUCUUAAGCAAUUAAAAAUGCAAACUGCACCUGAAGAAUUAAGAAGAAAGGAUGAAACAACUCUCACAGCAUUUUGCUGAGUGGACAGAAGGAUCAUCUUAGCAAUGGAUUUUAUCACAUAAUUAAAGAGGGAUUCCCUGAUUAAUUAAAUGAAGAGGCAAACUCAUUUAAACUGGUGAUGCUAAGAAGAAAUUACUGCAAUAUUUUUCUUCAGCCAAAAUAAAGUGAAUAGAUAUAGCUCUA